CRRUGCGGCUGCUAMCAUGCAGUCGAACGGAGGUCUUCGGACCUUAGUGGCGGACGGGUGAGUAACGCGUGAGAAUCUGGCCUCRGGACGGGGACAACGASUGGAAACGGUCGCUAAUACCCGAUGUGCCGAGAGGUGAAAGGAUUARUUGCCUGAGGAUGASCUCGCGUCUGAUUAGCUAGUUGGAGGGGUAAAGGCCCACCRAGGCGACGAUCAGUAGCUGGUCUGAGAGGAUGAUCAGCCACRCUGGGACUGAGACACGGCCCAGACUCCUACGGGAGGCAGCRGUGGGGAAUUUUCCGCRAUGGGCGAAAGCCUGACGGAGCAAGACCGCGUGAGGGAAGACGGCCUACUGGUUGUAAACCUCUUUUGAUAGGGAAGAACACRAUGACGGUACCUAUCGAAUCAGCCUCGGCUAACUCCGUGCCAGCAGCCGCGGUAAUACGGAGGAGGCAAGCGUUAUCCGGAAUUAUUGGGCGUAAAGCGUCCGUAGGUGGAUAUUCAAGUCAGUUGUUAAAGCGUGGAGCUUAACUCCAUAAAGGCAAUUGAAACUGAAUGUCUAGAGUGCGAUAGGGGCAAGGGGAAUUCCCAGUGUAGCGGUGAAAUGCGUAGAUAUUGGGAAGAACAUCGGUGGCGAAAGCGCCUUGCUGGGUCUGCRCUGACACUGAGGGACGAAAGCUAGGGGAGCGAAAGGGAUUAGAUACCCCUGUAGUCCUAGCCGUAAACGAUGGAUACUAGGCGUUGUCCGUAUCGACCCSAGCCGKGSCMRAAAACAAAAAA
rnacentral:rRNA from 1 species